GGAAGUUCUUGCUCUGCAGUGACAUUGUGUUCACAGAGCAGUUAGAUUAUAGUGGAACACAAGCAGCCAAUCAGCACUUCAGCCAAAACCACACAACUUUCAGCUUUGGCAGUCGUCAUGUUUCCUGUUCUGAAUUGAAGCCCUUCUGCUGUUCGAGUAGUAUCAGAGUUUUAUUUAGUUUUUCGCAGCAUAUCUAGCGUUGGAAUAUCAGAGUCUUUCAGUUCUCAGAAUUGAAGCCAUUUUGCUGUUUAAUGCGAUUCUGUGCCACUUCUGAAGCUCAGACAGCGCAACAUCAGCAGAGAUCUCAGAGUUGUGAUGGAGGUUUCUUCUCUUCAGCUCAACACAAGCUGGGAUGUAGAAAUGAACUGCUAGAGCAUCAGAAACCAGAUAGGAAGAAACAACAGGACAGAGAGAAAAAUGGAGGCCAGAAAUGAGACACAAACCAGUGAAACACAAGAGAAAAACAGACUGACACUUGUCAGAUGUGCCAGUAUAGAGAUAAUAAAACCAAGCUUCUCACAUGAUCCAGACGGACCUGUAAACUUUCCUUCAGAUGAAACUUCAGCACGUUCUGAAGAACACACAACAUCCCUGAGACAGCAGCAGCGGCUGAAGACAACACCAUCAUGAUCCCAGACUCCAUCCAUCCACACUACAGUCUGCUCAGACCCUCAGAGACCUGCAGACACUAUCAGCAGCAGGGGCUCAAGCGGAAACAGAGACACUUCUCUUGUUAUAAAACUAAUAAAAAAUAUUAAGGAAAAAAAAGGCACUUCUCAUAUUUAUUUAUUUUUUUCAAAAAAUAAAUAAAUAAAUAAAUAUAUUAACACAAUUUAAUUACCAAUUUAUUGUAAUUCCCUCACACUCACCCAGUUGUUUCACAUUGUUUCAUUUUUAAACAGAUGUCUACAAAUAAUCAGUUCACAUAGAGAACAUUGUGUUUAAAAAACUGAUUUUUUACAGGCUUCUGAGGCAGCGUGAUGGUUUAAUGAUCUACAACAAAAUAGAACGAGUUUAGCUCAAUCAUCACUGAAUGGAACACACAUGAUUGUGGGAUAUCAAAGGAAACAUCUCUGCUGCCUUCAGAAAUCGAUCAGAUGAAGGUAUGAGACAGAAAGUGAAGCUAACAUUGGAUUCGGACGUGCCCUGAUGCCUUUCUUUGAAGUGUGUCCUCUGAAGACAGCAUCUUUCAGUGUUUGGGUGCAGCACAUGUUAAACUAUAGCAGGGCUGAGCAACUUUGGUCCUGAGGAACACUAUCAGCUCAACCCUAAUCAAACACACCUGCCUGUAGCUUUCUAGUUAUCUUGAAGACCUUGAUCAGUUUGUUUAGUUUGACUUGGAGCUAAACUCUGAACCAUAGUGGCCCUCCAGGACUGUAAGGUCCAGGCACUCGGUCCAAGGAAGGUAUCCGGUGCUGGCUGAAGGUUGCUUGCGCGUUCGGUCUUUUCAGCGCGU
ensembl:lncRNA